rnacentral:tRNA from 1 species
GCCUUGAUAGCUCAGUUGGUAGAGCAGUAGACUGAAAAUCUACGUGUCGUUGGUUCAAUUCCGACUCAAGGCACCA